GGAUGUGAGAGUCUUCUGUGUGCAAAAUCUGCCACCUCAUGGAUCCCUAGUGUUGAUUCACCUGAUCUGUCUUGCUAGGCUGUGUCAUAUUUUCUUCCUAAGUGCUCAUUCUGUGUCCUUCCUAAGGGUGCCCAUUUGAUCUAAGAGGCAACCUUCAACAUUUGGAGGAAAACCAUUCUUCCAACAUAGAUAGCUUGAUCCCCUGCUAGAAUGUCCAAACAAGCUCUCCAAAAAUGUUGGUGAGUGCAAUCCCCACAAGAGACCAGAUCUAUCAGAUGUGGACACUCCACCAUAUUCU
ensembl:misc_RNA 7SK 7SK RNA